GAGUGGGAGAGGAGUAUGCUUUUCGAUGGACGAAAGAGCAGACAGAAAUGUUUAUAAAGCUCCGGGGAGAGAACGAUGAGCUCUUCACCAGAGCAGAGAACUCUGCCACUGUGGGAUGGAGGAUAGUUUUGGAGAAGAUGGGCCUGUCUGGUAAAGUGACACCAGCCCAAGCAAAGAAAAAGUGGGACAAUUUAAAAAAGAAAUAUAAAGUAUGUCCAUAUAUAGAAAAUAAUAUUUUUGUUAGUAACAGUUAAAAAAAAUCCUAGGUUUAAGCUUACAUGUUUUGUGAACAGUUUAGAUUUUGACUUGUCUUUAGGAAUACAAGUAUCCAGGGUCAGUAGAGGGAGUGAGUGGGAAGCCCACUGCUGCUACUUUGCCCUGGUUUGUCCAAAUGGAUGAGGUUUUAGGACAAAGGCCUUCAAUUUGCCCCCCUGUCCUUAUUGCCUCCAUCCCUAUGGACACUCCAGGGCCAAGUGCAGCAGUGAGUGACCAAGAGGAGAGAGAGGAAGAAGAGAGGGAAGGAGAUAGGCACCCAGCAGUGAAGAAGAGGAGAAGGGACAGUGACCAGGAGCUGUUAGACCUCAUCAGGGAGGACAUGAGGCAGCAGAGAGAGGCUGAAGAGAGGAGGGCACAGGAGAGCAGGGAGAGGAUGGACAGGCUCUUCUCCAUUCUGGAGCGUUGGGUCCCCAAAUAAAUUUUUUUUUUUUUUUUUUGGGGUGGGAGGGAUUAAAUUGUUUCCAUUGUUAGCUUCAGUUGUUUGAAAUAAAUUGUUUGAAAGAAA